UCUCCCUGUCCUCCCUGAGCACCGUCUGCAUGUCUCUGUGGAGGGGGGGGGGAGCACAGGGUCACGCACAGCAGGGGGAGGUUAUAACACGGUCUCACCAUUUCUCAGGUGUGGUUCAGUCAGGUGUAUUUCUCAGGUGUGGUUCAGUCAGGUGUAUUUCUCAGGUGUAUUUCUCAGGUGUGGUUCAGUCAGGUGUAUUUCUCAGGUGUAUUUCUCAGGUGUGGUUCAGUCAGGUGUAUUUCUCAGGUGUGGUUCAGUCAGGUGUAUUUCUCCGGUGUGGUUCAGUCAGGUGUAUUUCUCAGGUGUGGUGCAGUCAGGUGUAUUUCUCAGGUGUGGUUCAGUCAGGUGUAUUUCUCAGGUGUGGUUCAGUCAGGUGUAUUUCUCAGGUGUGGUUCAGUCAGGUGUAUUUCUCAGGUGUAUUUCUCAGGUGUGGUUCAGUCAGGUGUAUUUCUCAGGUGUGGUU